rnacentral:lncRNA from 1 species
AUGAACCGCAUACUUUCUGGAAGGCCUCAGGCUUCCCUUCCCACUGAUCCAGCAGCUGCACAGGGUGGACAAGCACUGCUGUCUCCUGUCUCUUCUCGAGGCAAGAACAGAAAUGCCAGCUCCCCAGCACUUUGCUUUGACCUACUACGUGUGUACACAGGAGGGCAUGAGAGGAGCACAGAACUGGAGACAGCCCUGUUGAGCCACUGUUCCGAUAACCAGGGUCCUAUUGCCUACCUCACUGGGGGCCCAGUGCAGAAUGGAGAGGACAACUACUUCUUCUCCAAAGAGGAAAACUGGAUGUUGCAUUUCAUUCCUGAGAGGCUCCACUACCAAAUGCCAAAGCCAUGGCCCUAAUGACUCCAUCUCUGUGCUGCUCCUGUGCAUCUGCUGCCUGACAAACAAACAGAUCUUGAAGAACAUAGCUGCAAGCAGUGGAAAUCACCAUUCAAGGAAAACUUUGUUUUAAGACUCCCAGCAGAGAUGACUUCAAAGGCUAGCAGGAAGAUGCUGAAUCCCACCUGGUAUGGAGUGCCAGGGGCAAGACCGUGAUGAAGCAGAGAGUGCUCCCAGAGGUGCAGCACACUGAGCAGUUCCAAGGAACUGAAGAGUUUUCUGGUUAAAGCCCUACAUAAACACACUGUAGUGGUAAGGGAUGGAAGAUACAAAGGACUAAGGAUUACCCAAUGAAUUUUUGCUGCUUAUCUCAGGAAAGAUUUCCCUGAAAAUAAAGACAAUAAGGAAGUCA